rnacentral:rRNA from 1 species
CUAACACAUGCAAGUCGAACGAAGCGGUUUCGAUGAAGCCUUCGGGUGGAAUUGAAAUUGACUGAGUGGCGGACGGGUGAGUAACGCGUGGGUAAUCUGCCUCACACAGGGGGAUAACAGUUAGAAAUGACUNNNNNNNNNCAUAAGCGCACAGGACGGCAUCGUCCAGUGUGAAAAACUCCGGUGGUGUGAGAUGAGCCCGCGUCUGAUUAGGUAGUUGGUGAGGUAAGGGCUCACCAAGCCGACGAUCAGNNNNCGGCCUGAGAGGGUGGACGGCCACAUUGGGACUGAGACACGGACCAAACUCCUACGGGAGGCAGCAGUGGGGAAUAUUGCACAAUGGGGGAAACCCUGAUGC